GAUGAACGCUGGCGGCGUGCUUAACACAUGCAAGUCGAACGAUGAAGCCCAGCUUGCUGGGUGGAUUAGUGGCGAACGAGUGAGUAACACGUGAGUAACCUGCCCUUAACUCUGGGAUAAGCCUGGGAAACUGGGUCUAAUACCGGACAGGAGCGUCCACCGCAUGGUGGGUGUUGGAAAGAUUUAUCGGUUUUGGAUGGACUCGCGGCCUAUCAGCUUGUUGGUGAGGUAAUGGCUCACCAAGGCGACGACGGGUAGCCGGCCUGAGAGGGUGACCGGCCACACUGGGACUGAGACACGGCCCAGACUCCUACGGGGGGCAGCAGUGGGGAAUAUUGCACAAUGGGCGCAAGCCUGAUGCAGCGACGCCGCGUGAGGGAUGACGGCCUUCGGGUUGUAAACCUCUUUCAGUAGGGAAGAAGCGAAAGUGACGGUACCUGCAGAAGAAGCACCGGCUAACUACGUG
rnacentral:rRNA from 1 species